CAGAGAGGCAUGUUCAGGGAAUGCGGGAGCACAGAGAAGACUCGCCAUUCCCAGGCCUGGGAGUGGGGUGCCGGGAGAGGGAGAGAGGAUGCUUCUUGUGGAGAUGGCUUCUUAGUUCACUCUGAGAAGACGAGGAUCAUUCUAAUCAGAGUGGCAGUAUGGAAGAUGAUUUUCAAAGCUCCCGGGGACAAAAGGAAGAUAUCCGGAAGCCACUGAUGCUGUGUUCUUCAACGAAGCCCCCAAGAAUCAUGCCGGUCCUGAUCAUUCUGCAAAAUAUUUAAAUAUAGAGGAAUGAAUGAAUAUGUCAGCAAAAACAAGUACUUCCCCCAUUUGUUUCAAAGUCUGAAAAACCCUAAUAAAAGCCAAAUAAUAAAGUCCAGUUCUUUCCCUAUUACAUUGCCUUCUGCAAAAUGCACUGAAGAAUAUUUUUAAUUUUUUGACUGGUCAAAUGGCCUCCACUUGAGCCCUUGAGGGUGGAGUCUGAAGAACUCUUCUGUUGCUCCUGGGCCAGGUGGUGUCAGCUACAAACUUCACUCUGCAGGGUUUCCCCCUAUUUCUUCUUAUUUUGGCUUUAAUUUCUAUUUUUUGAAAGAGAAAUGAUUAAUCUAUUUCAGAUU
rnacentral:lncRNA from 1 species